rnacentral:snoRNA from 1 species
UGGCACCUUGAUCUUGGACUUCAAAACAGUAAGCAAAUAAACAUGCUACAUUUAAAAAGGAGUUCUCAGGGCUGCCAACCUUACAGUAGAGGUUGAGUGGUAGUAUAUUUCUCCUACAUAA